rnacentral:misc_RNA from 1 species
GAUGAAGAACGUAGCGAAAUGCGAUAAGUAAUGUGAAUUGCAGAAUUCAGUGAAUCAUCGAAUCUUUGAACGCACAUUGCGCCCGCCAGCACUCUGGCGGGCAUGCCUGUUCGAGCGUCAUUUCAACCAUCAAGCCCCCAGGGGCUUGUGCUGGGGCCCUGCGGCUGCCCGCAGGCCCUGAAAACCAGUGGCGGGCUCGCUAGUCACACCGAGCGCAGUAGCACAUCUCGCUCAGGGCGUGCGGCGGGCUCCUGCCGUGAAACCCCCCACUGUAACCCCAAAGGUUGACCUCGGAUCAGGUAGGAAUACCCGCUGAACUUAAGCAUAUCAAUGAGCGGAGGA